UACGGGGGGGGCAAGCGUUGUUCGGAAUUACUGGGCGUAAAGGGCGCGUAGGCGGCCUACUAAGUCGGACGUGAAAUCCCUCGGCUCAACCGAGGAACUGCGUCCGAUACUGGCAGGCUGGAAUCCGGGAGAGGGAUGUGGAAUUCCAGGUGUAGCGGUGAAAUGCGUAGAUAUCUGGAGGAACACCGGUGGCGAAGGCGGCAUCCUGGACCGGUAUUGACGCUGAGGCGCGAAAGCUAGGGGAGCGAACAGG
rnacentral:rRNA from 1 species